rnacentral:rRNA from 1 species
UGAGAGGGCGACCGGCCACAUUGGGACUGAGAUACGGCCCAGACUCCUACGGGAGGCAGCAGUGGGGAAUAUUGCACAAUGGGCGCAAGCCUGAUGCAGCGACGCCGCGUGCGGGAUGACGGCCUUCGGGUUGUAAACCGCUUUUGAUCGGGAGCAAGCCUUCGGGUGAGUGUACCUUUCGAAUAAGCACCGGCUAACUACGUG